rnacentral:rRNA from 1 species
GACGAACGCUGGCGGCGUGCUUAACACAUGCGAGUCGAACGGAAAGGCCCUGCUUGCAGGGUACUCGAGUGGCGAACGGGUGAGUAAAAGGGGGGGAACUGCCCUGCACUUCGGGAUAAGCCUGGGGAACUGGGUCUAAUAACGGGUAGGAGGCAUUUUUAGGGUGGUGGUUGGAAAGGUUUUUCGGUGUAGGAUGAGCUCGCGGCCUAUCAGCUUGUUGGUGGGGUAAUGGCCUACCAAGGCGGCGACGGGUAGCCGGCCUGAGAGGGUGGACGGCCACAUUGGGACUGAGAUACGGCCCAGACUCCUACGGGAGGCAGCAGUGGGGAAUAUUGCACAAUGGGCGCAAGCCUGAUGCAGCGACGCCGCGUGGGGGAUGACGGCCUUCGGGUUGUAAACUCCUUUCGCUAGGGACGAAGCUUUUUGUGACGGUACCUAGAUAAGAAGCACCGGCUAACUACGUG